rnacentral:miRNA from 1 species
GAUGCUGCUGCUGCUGCG